rnacentral:rRNA from 1 species
UACAGAGGUGGCAAGCGUUGUUCGGAAUUACUGGGCGUAAAGGGCGCGUAGGCGGCCUUGUAAGUCCUGUGUGAAAUCCCCCGGCUCAACUGGGGAACUGCACAGGAGACUGCUUGGCUUGAGUUCGGGAGAGGGAAGCGGAAUUCCGGGUGUAGCGGUGAAAUGCGCAGAUAUCAGGAGGAACACCGGUGGCGAAGGCGGGUCUCUGGGCAACUACUGACGCUGAGGCACGAAAGCGUGGGGAGCAAACAGG